UUUGCUGUAUUUUUGUAUUUGCAUUGUAUAGCUUCCUUGGUAGGUUAUCUAACAAGAAGGCAGCCUCAACUACCCCUCCAGUAGAGUGGUAUCAGUAAAGAACAUUAUUCAAUAAGGCUGAUUUGUUUCGAUGGGGCAUUUUGAAUGUUAGAUACUACAUUAUAGAGCGUGGAUAUUGCUAUGGCAGGUCCCCCGCAACAGGACGGCAGGGGGGCCAUGGCCUCCCCACUUUUUCGCUAAAUGAAAUAAUAAAACCAGCGUUAAUUGUUUAUAUAGAUAAACCUUUAGAUUUCAACACAUACGUCGAACCAAAGUACACAAUUAGGGCAAGAGGGGUAAGAGAAAACUUUCUUUACUUUGGUGACCCCUCCAGUUUAGAGUCAGUGACGCGGGCCUAGUAUGUUAUGGAACUACUUCGUUUUGAUUACAUACGUCAAUCUCUCCCCGCUCAAUGUCAAUCCAGCAAAUAAAGAUUAAUCCAAAGCACAAAAGAAGCGAUACCAGACACAAAUAUAUGAAGUUCGCACAACUCAGAUAAUGGAGUAUUAUUUUUCGUUAGCUCAGAGACAAUUACCAAAGUAGCAGAGGUUUAGCUUUUUUGGAUCAAGUGAAAAGAGGCUUUGUUCCUAGUAUUAAGUAAAAUAAACGUUUUUCAGUGUUUGGAUCAGUCUUAUUAAACUCAACAUUGGCCAGACGUGUAUAUUUCUCACCAGAGACGUACGUGGGCGCUUCUGAAUUUGCCAACAAGAUAGAUAUAUAUAUAUCGAUGCACAGGGGCUGCUCAGAGAGACCCUUGGAGGUGAAGAUGAGGUUACUGGCGUAGAAGAAAGGGCUCAAGGGGAGAGAUAAAAAGAGAACAGCUGAAUACAACAAACGGGGGUUUUAUUUAUUUUACAUCGUGGUCUUAUCAAUGGAUGCAUUUAGUAUAGCAUUAAACAGGCGAUGUCAUUGUAUCAAAGCGUGUGCACCUUGACAAAUCGUUAACACUUUCUGCAAUGAAAGCUAUUGCUCUUAUUAGAAAAGCAGGCCAACUGACAAGUUAUUGAUUAAACUGGCAAAAAGAUCAAAACUGGCUUCGUUUUUUGCAUGUGGCUUUCUCAAUUUCCAAUGCAAAAUACAGAAUGGCAAAAAAGAUUAAGGCCGUUGUGACAAAUAUCAGGAAUGCUUUUAAAUUACCAAUUGCACCAUUUCCUCUAAGCAGUGCUGCAUUUUACUGUGGGCCUAGGGCGUCCUGGCCUAAGUUUUCUUAGGGAAACGUACCUAUAACGUCAAAAAGAGACGGAUCUGCCUUGGGCGCGGUGCAUGGAGGCCCCAGGAACGGGAGUACAUAUUUAAGCUAAGAAAGUUCUUUAUUUGAUAAAUUUGUUACAUAUUUGAUGAAUUCGUAGCAAGCCAUAUUAUGAUGUGUUAUGGUAUGCAUGUUUCUGCCUUUCUUUGCAAGAGACGCUAUCAAAAUAUGGCACAACAUUUUUGGUAGUGUGGUUCAGCUAGCUCGAUUAUUCCUUUCAUAAGAAUUUGGGAUAUACUUUUCUGAUGGAAUUACCAGUAUGAUAAAACUGGAAACAUAAGAACGUUCGUUUUUUACGAAUUACGUAUUUGAACUUAAUAGGUAAGAACCAGGUCAGGUAAUCUUUUGAUAGGUUCUUUAGUUUAGAAAUUAGUCGAGAAAUAAACCUGUGACAAUUUUUCUCAAGAUUGUAAAAAAACAUUGCAUGCAAAGAUACGCGAGGUUGAUGACAAAUGGAAAAUCGUCACUACAAGUUUGUUGUUGUUAAUUUUUACUUUACAAGAUUGUGGAAAAACUCCUAUUCUAAGAAAUUCGAUAACUGGGUGUACAUAACCUUAGAAGAGCAUGAAAAGGCAUCGUUCAAAAACUUUAAAAUCCGGUACCUUUCUCGAGGGAUCGUUUAUUAUAUGGGGUUAAAUCAAAUUAUACUACUUUUGGGUCUUAAAAACAAACCCCUUUUUGAUAUAUCGUAUGUCUGAUCGCAUAUUUUAGCCUCUGUCCUUUCCUUUCGCAUUUUUCUUAACUUAUCUUUAUUGUUCUUUAGAUAUAUGCUAGAAAAGCAUGAUUUGACUCUACCACAAGACGAAACCAUUGGUAGACUAUUCGACAGCCUCCCGUGACUAGCAUAAGGACGGCUUUGCAUUUGUGAAUAUUUCACAUUUAGAGUGCAACAUACAUUAUAUACAGUUUCGGAUAAGAAGACCACAUUAGAUGGUUUUGUGGUAGAGCAGCGACGGCCAUGACCACGAUUGAUCCGAAAUCUAUCAUUACACGCAUGUAGUGAGUAAGUAAUGAUUAGCUGUCUUCAAGCGCAAUUUGAUGACCAGGAUGAGAGUUUCUUUGGUUACCUUUUAUUCCUGGCUUUAGAGGUGACCCUAACGAAUCUUCAGGUUGCAAAGUUCACUUGAUAAAUCGGUGUUAUCAGGGAAUAAAUGAGCUAUUGUUGUACCUUGUUCAGAAAAACCUGGUAUCUCUAUAGUGGCAGAAUAAAGGUGAAAAGUUUAACUGCUGUCUAAGAGAGUGAAGGGUCAAUGGAUAGGGAAUAUUGCAUGCGCCAUCCAAUAAACGAGACACUUGUCAAAAGAACGACACCAAGUUAAUGAAUCUAUAGAAGCAAUAUUUUUUAGAUGAUUUGUGCACUUGAAGAUUAUUCCUUGUAUGUUAGAGACGAGUAAUAAUGACCAAAACGAGUUGAAUGCACAUGCUUAGCGAGGUGCUUGCCUUGCCUCUCCUCUCCUUUCCUUGCACAAACUAGAAUGAAUAACUGAAGAAAUUCUCCGGAAAUUUCCGCAAAAUUAAACAGAAACAGCUAACUAAACUUUGAAAUUUUGGCUGAUAAUCUUUAACUUUUGUAUCAAAAAGGGGUUCUCUCAACCUUUUCAGAGCAGCAAUUAGAUUGUAAACUAUUUUUUUGCCUUGCAUAAGGCUGUGAUUUACCUGGAUAUUAAGUAGCAUUUAAUGCGGCAGAAAAAUUUAGGUAAGUCGAGAAGAAGUCAGAAAAGGAGGCUGUGUUGGUGGAGAGACUGUACAGUCUCUGGGUGACACCGCGAAUUUCGCUUAAUCUACUUUAAUUAUAUUGUAUUUCUUAAAGCUAUAUCUGGCAAACCACAUGCUAGUGUGUCUUGAAACGUAUUAACUACUGUUCAAUAUUUUAAUGGACAUCAAAAUUUCGCAAAAAGCCUCUAAAAAUCUCCCUAAAGUGCACAAUCUACUUUAAUUAUAUGGUAUUUCUUAAAGCUAUAUCUGGCAAACCAUAUACUAAUGUGUCUUGAAACGUAUUAACUACUGUUCAAUAUUUUAAUGGACAUCAAAAUUUCGCAAUAAGCCACAAAAAUCUCCCUAAAAAGCACAGUUAAAUAUUUUUCUGCCUAGCACAUAGAAAAUACUUCAAAUUUGGGUAAAAGGCGUAAAUAUUAGUGUUGAAAUUGCAUAAAAAGGCAUCUGGAGUUUCUUUUAUCACUUAUAAGUUCUUUUAAUACUUUUCAUUAAACCAGAGUCAAGGUAGUCUUGGCUACUGGAAAAAGAAUGAGCAACCAUAAAGCUAGGAUUAAUAACAGAAGGUCUUUCGUAAGCCAAAGUAUUAUUUUCCAUAAUUUGCCGACCCAAUUUCCCUGUUUCGCUAAUGCUUUGUUUUCACAUUAAUAUGUAAAUUUGUGCACACCAAAAGAAAGUCAAACACGUUUAAUAAAAGGAAUAACUAACAUUUACUUUUCAAUAUUGACAAAAAAAUAGAUAAAGCUGAUUUAUUCAGGGAGUAAACUGGUAGAAAGCUUUUAGUCGUGGAAGUCAUAGAUUUGAUGUGGAAUUCGAGAAAUAUUGAUUCCAGAGGUAAUUUAAAUAACAGAAAGUGCACUUUAAUAGGGAUCAAAAUUUGAAUAGGUAAUUGGAGAUGACUUUUAAUGUUUGGUAGACUUUUAGUAAAUAUACUCGUUGGCAUUCUAGGGACCACAGCCAGUCAGUACACAGGUGGAGAGGAUAGGUUGGUUGGCCAUCACAAAAUUCUGAGAGCGUCAGAAAAUGCACAGAUAUAAAGGGGUGUUUCUUUGAAAGGUUGCUCUAAACAUCGUUAAGCGAGAAAUUAUGUUUGAAAUAUGAACAACUAGCUCACACGAAUACAUCUCCUGACUCAAUUGUUUUUUGAAAAGGCAAAGAGGUCUGUCAAAAUAGUUUAACGUUAAAAUAGUUAAAAUAGUUGAAAUAUAUUUAACGGGAUGAACAUUAAAAAGAUUUAAUGACUUUUAUACUGUAUCCAAGUGCAAAUGAAUGGAGUUAUUUAACAGCGGACUUGAUUAAAUCGAUUUGUUUAGUUUUCUCCGUUUUUCGUUAUUCCAAUUCUAUUUUAACAGUUUUCACAGUUUCGUUCUCUAAGGAAUUUACUGCACAUUAAAUUUUCUAGCAGAUAUGAUUGGUCAUGGCAAAGGCGAUACUGCUUUUAUCACUGCUUCCCAGAAACGUUUUUUAUAUUAAUUUUGAAACUAAAAUACUAAUAGUGAAGUUACUAAAAUAUUGCGGCUUAACUGCCCUUAGUUGCCCUUUAAAUCUGCCACUGAAAUGGAACUCAAUAUGUUCUGAAAAUUUUUUCUGGACAACCAACAUUGCAUGAUUAAUAUGUACGUUCCAUUUGAGAACAAAUGGAUGGCAUGAGCCUUUGUAGAGAUUUUUUGUUUCCGCUAUAAUGUUCCUUGUCUCCUGUUUCCUAUAACGACUAUACAAGACCUUCAAAAAGCCAAACACGGAAUGCUAUGAACGGCGACUUUAAAGGAUCUGCCAGAAUUUUCUUCCUAAAACCACAGUGGAAAUCCGGGGGACACUGUCUUUGUCAAGAGGGACCUAAAAAAUCUUCAGUUUCCAAGAAAUGUUUAAACGAGUCUAUAGAUAUUCACUGAAACAAAAUGAAACUCUCUUUUACCACAGCUUUAUGUUAGAAGUGAAAUUUUGAAUUCAGUAUUAAAAAGGAGAUAAAAAUUAGUAAAAAUUCUCACCGAUGUGCUAUCCAUCCAAUUACAAUUGUGCCAAGGAAACCACCAGGAAAAUACAUGGAAUGGGCAAUUUGCUCAAGGUAGCUCUUGUCGCAGACAAGCUCAAACUGAACGGAGAGAGACACUAUCUCAGUAAAUGAUAAAAAUUUGGAAAUAAUGCUGUAAAAAUUUCGAUUGUAAAUUUGAAGCAAUAUCGAAUCAUAACUACCUGACGGUAGGAGAAGUAAUUUCUAACUUAACGCUUGACUCAAUGAAAAUUGCUGUUGGCCUUAUUCUAAUAGGUGCUACAAUGCUAAGAAUUGAAAAAUAUAAAACACAACGCAAUUUGCUGAGUGUUCCAAGUACUUUUGGCAACGAUUAUAGAUGGCAUGUGGGCGGAGCUGUAGAUGCUUUGGUGUAUGGAAGAAGAUUGUUCUAAGCUAAGUUCAGAGGACUGUUCUAAGCUUAUAGUGCUUGAUGCCGUUUAGGCAGAGCUGUGUUGCAAGCGCCCCGGUGUAUAGAACAACACGACUCAAGGUUGCAACACUGAAUUUCACGCCCAUCAUGGACAACUGAAGGGCUUUCAUGAAUAACUGUACCAGAUAACAUAUGGACUUUGACAGCCAAAAUCUCUUGGCAUCUUUCAAAAGGAGAUUGUAUUCCCAUUUAAUGUUUUGUCCUCGCCAGCCCCAAACAACCUGGUGAAUAUUCUGUUGUCUCAAAAUUAUAACUUUUGGACCACACUAACUCAGAAUGCAAAUUUCAGGGAGCAAUAAAGCAAUGAGGACUAAAUGAUUACUUAAAAAGCACAAAGACUUGUUGCUUGAGUAGGUUAAAAAUAAAACAACAUUUUAUAUUCUUCGUGGCAAUAAAAAUGGUCAAUCGUAGAUUUUGCCUUGGUUCCCAUCGAUAAGUAGAGGGUAACCACGGCGACAUUUCAUUUUGUAUCAUAGAAACGUAAAAGGAUAAAAGGAGCUUGUCGUCUUGUCAAUGCAUCAGGGAAGCUAGAAAUUGUGAUUCAAUAGACAUGCUUCAAUAGAAUGCCUGCAGUUCCACUUUAUCGUACGCCUAGGCUUCAAGCCUAAUGUUUAUUAUAAUCGCUGUGAAAUUUACAAAAGAAUUAGCAGGUCCUUGUUGGAAAGAACAAGGCAACUACAUCUGCUGUAUGGGGCCGCUGAGUUCCUUAUCCAAUUGCUGGUAAAAGUUGAUGCAAAACCAAACCUACAAACAGAGGAAAUUACCCGCACCAUUUUCUGAUCCCUGUGUGAAAGCUAGCGGGAACUGAAAGUUUUGAAUUAGAAAUUGUUGUUUAUGUUGAUGCCACAUUUUACAGUAGUUGUUGUUGCUGCUUAUAUUCAUUCCAACAAAUGAUUUGGAGUUUUGUUGACCAUGUUAGGUCCUCUAACAUGCAAAAUCAGAAAUAACGCUGCACAGGUAGGAACAAAGCUGUGCCUAGAGGUUACCUUAUUUUCAUAUACCUAUGUAUUUGGUUAGCCUUGUAAUAAUAUUCAAUCGCGAUGGUAAGAAUCAUACGAUCACGAACACGACAAUCACGAUCACGAUUUUCAUGCUCAUAAUAAUAAUAAUGAUCAAAUGACGAAGGCUCCUCAAGGCUCUUUUCACUACAACAUACUCAAGUGUCUCUAAUAGAAGGGGGUGUUCAUGUCGACCAGUUUUCAAUAGAAGGGGGUGCUGAUAGAAGGGGGUGUCCAUGUUGGCAAUCCUUCCUUGAAAUCGAAGUACCUUUCAGAAUAUACUGUCAAAAUUUGCUUUCAGUUUCUUGCAUAGUUUUAGAGAGAAUUGCAAUCAUACAAAGAUAAAUCAAAUUUACAGCUUUUAACUUCCAAGUCAAAAAUCAUCGGUUUCCUUUGGACGGUUUAGGUUUUACAAAAACUUUGAAAAACAACGCAUAAUGAAAAUCAAAUGACUUGAUUUGUAAAAUUUGAUAGAAGGGGAGUGCUAAUAAGCGACGGGGGGAGGGCAAAUUCUUCUGAAAUUAAUACACGGGGGGCGUCUACACUUGAUUUCUCUACCACCAGGUUGUCUUGGACCCCUGAAGAUAUUUUUAGUCUGUCAAGUCUAGAUUAUUUGGAAAUGUAAAAUCUACAAGUUAUGAUUUUUUUCUCGAAAUGAAUAUUGUGCUUAUUCUGCGCUAAUUUUGAAAUCAUCUUUGAUCGUGAACCGUCACUCCUACCUAAUUUGGUGAAUAACACAAAGGGAAAAGUCUAAUUAGGGUUUCUUGUUAAGCAAAUCAUACAAGCAAAUUAUAAGAUAUAUUGAAAACCGAUGCAGCUUUGGUUCAUAUCUUUGCUAGAUUUUCUCGAGCACACUAUUGAAAUAAUGUCAACAUACACACCAUUGGCCGGACAAUCAAAUGGCAGGUAUUGAAAUGACAGAAAGCAGCACAUUAUUCUCCGGAAGCCGUCCUCCGAAAAUAAACAUUCAACUUGUUAAAAAAGCGAUGCAUUGUUUUCUCUAAUUUCGUUUUGGACCACGGUUAAUUUGAUUCUCAGUAUGCAUUAACAACAGGACUUGCUAGAUCCUGGAUUGGAACAACAAAACUUCCACUCAAAAUAAACUUUUAUUAUGUCAUGCAUAUUCCUAAAAUCUGCCUUGAAAGUUUUGUGCAAAACUGAAGCAGUGCAAAGUGUUGAAAACGUAAUUAUAAAUUUAUUAUUGUAAAAAAAUCAAAAUUAACACGUGUUAAUGUGCGAAACAAGAACUUACCUCUGUAAUUACUGAAAAUUUUUCGGGUUGCAUAAAUAAGUAUUGUCUUGAAGAGAAUGGGCAAUAAUCUUCUUUGUGUGUGGUGUCAAUUUUUCGACAUUCAGACAACCCAAUUUCAAUGCAAAUAUCAGGUUUUUGCCCUGCGAAAACCAUGAAAAGACUCUGACAAGCAAACGGUAUCGAUAUGAGGAAAAACAAAACAUGUCUACGAAUUUGAUAAUGGCUACAUCCUCCGAUUUCUUUCAAUACUUCAUCCAAAUUGCUGGUUUUUGCUUUGAUCACGACCGAGCUUCGCCGGCUAAACCCACGUUGCAAAGGAAUCCGGGCUGCCUCACCAGACAUGGUGGUCGAUCCUUACAAGUUUUGUUUUUUUACAAUGCAAGUUUCGCACUAAGUUAUGCCGUAGCCCGCCUACUUUUCCGCUCCUCGCUGUUUGACAAAUUGUCCAGAUUUUUCUCUCAGGCACUUCUCGACAGCUACUAAUCGUAUUUUGAUAUCAAAAUAAUUUGCUAAUGUUGUCAACUGUCAAAUUGCGAGAGAAGUUCGAUUGUCACAUAAGAUCCAUCUUCUUUCUGUUCAAAAGCUCAAAUUUGUUUCAAGCAUACCAAAGAUCAUUUGGAUUCAAAUACUGUAUCUAUACCACAACUAUUUCAUUUGAGAAAAAAAUUGCUAUUGACAAAUUCCGCUAUUGACCAAACGAAGAAGUAAUUUAGAGAAGCAUUGCAACUUCUUCGAUCGUUGUUUUUACCAGGUCAGUUAAAAUUCGCAUCAUCGAAGAUUGUUAAGUUGCGAGUAAAAUCUUUUUGGACACCCGUUUUGACUCCAGUUUGCAAGCUCAGCUUUUCCUUGAAUUCAUGAACGGAGUGUUGUGUGCUGGCGAAUAGCUUUUCAGACGUUUUUAUCCACUUGUUGCCAACCUCAAUUGGGGAUUUCAAUUUGCGGCUUAGCUAAAAACCUCCUCAUGGUUAAUUAUACUUCGAACGUCUCUGAAUGUCGAUUGAUGGAGCAAAUAACUGCUCAAA